GAAGCUUCCUUCGGGAAGUGGAUUAGCGGCGGACGGGUGAGUAACACGUGGGUAACCUGCCUCAAAGUGGGGGAUAGCCUUCCGAAAGGAAGAUUAAUACCGCAUAAUAUGAGAGAAUCGCAUGAUUUUCUUAUCAAAGAUUUAUUGCUUUGAGAUGGACCCGCGGCGCAUUAGCUAGUUGGUAAGGUAACGGCUUACCAAGGCAACGAUGCGUAGCCGACCUGAGAGGGUGAUCGGCCACAUUGGAACUGAGACACGGUCCAGACUCCUACGGGAGGCAGCAGUGGGGAAUAUUGCGCAAUGGGGGAAACCCUGACGCAGCAACGCCGCGUGGGUGAUGAAGGUCUUCGGAUUGUAAAGCCCUGUUUUCUGGGACGAUAAUGACGGUACCAGAGGAGGAAGCCACGGCUAACUACGUGCCAGCAGCCGCGGUAAUACGUAGGUGGCGAGCGUUGUCCGGAUUUACUGGGCGUAAAGGGUGCGUAGGCGGAUGUUUAAGUGGGAUGUGAAAUCCCCGGGCUUAACCUGGGGGCUGCAUUCCAAACUGGAUAUCUAGAGUGCAGGAGAGGAAAGCGGAAUUCCUAGUGUAGCGGUGAAAUGCGUAGAGAUUAGGAAGAACACCAGUGGCGAAGGCGGCUUUCUGGACUGUAACUGACGCUGAGGCACGAAAGCGUGGGUAGCAAACAGGAUUAGAUACCCUGGUAGUCCACGCCGUAAACGAUGGAUACUAGGUGUAGGGGGUAUCAACUCCCCCUGUGCCGCAGUUAACACAAUAAGUAUCCCGCCUGGGGAGUACGGUCGCAAGAUUAAAACUCAAAGGAAUUGACGGGGGCCCGCACAAGCAGCGGAGCAUGUGGUUUAAUUCGAAGCAACGCGAAGAACCUUACCUGGACUUGACAUCCCUUGCAUAGCCUAAAGAUAGG
rnacentral:rRNA from 1 species